UAUUAAGGAAAAGGACAGGCUAAUGCCAGAAUUCUGCAUUGAAGACUGAGGAAGACAUGACAAUUCUUUGUCAUCUAAGAGAUGUGUUCUAUUUUUAUUUAGUUGUAUUUAUCUUUUAAAUACAUGAUAGAUUCUGAAAAUCAAAAGUGACUUGAAAGACUUGCCAACUGUCUCACGUAUUUUACCCAAAGGAGACAGAGCAGAAUGCCUCCACAGGCAAAAUCACACAACAUAAAUCUUUGAUGUUAUAGUCCCCUUGUGAUCAACCAACUUAAAAAGCCACAUCUACGUUCAGGAGUCAUUAACUGAGUUCACAGUGACUUUAUUCCCUUUUCUCUGCCUUACGCACAUUCCCCUGGCCUUCUGUUUAUUUAAUGAAUUCCAUAAAGUUUUACAAGAAAUUUGCAUCAUUCAUGACUUUCCAAAGUUGGCGUUAUCUCAUUUUCUGCAAUCACCAUUAUGGGUUCAGACAUAAACUGAGGCUAAAAGAUAUGAAGGGAGUGUAAUUAGCAGUUUGAAGGAAAACGUUUUCUCAGCCUUUGAGGGGAUUCCCAGUUGUAUACAACUUUAAGAAUUAUUGACUACCAUCUUCCAAAAAAAAUUGAGGGUGACAUGUUUGGACAGAAAGAAAGCUAGAAAAUUGGUAUAUUAAAUAAAUCCUUCGGGAAAUUUUUGUGCCAGGAAACCUGUUCCAAAUACCAUUCUUGAAUCAUGACUUCUCAGUGUUGUGACUUAAUGAAUCUUCUGGCUGAGCAGUAAAUCACUUGGGUUGGAAUUUUUCACUAUCUCACUAGUUAUAAUACACCAAAUAUUUUACAUGGUAUAUAGAAUCAAGAUCUUUGGCAUUUUUAUAUGUUUAAGUAGGGAAAUUAUUUGAUUCAGAAGUAUUAUCAAGGUAUUAAAGUUUUCUUUCAUUAUUAUUAAACGUAUUAGAUAUAGGUUAGCCAGAAUUUACUACCAGUGAAUUGGAAAUUGAGUUUGGAAGAAAUAUAAAAUAUAUGAAAUGUUUUAUUUUCUUGUUUGCUUGGGUGUAUACUGAAUGAGUGGUUCUCUCUGGAGUCUUCCCUAUUUUAUUUAUUGAUGCAGAGUCUCUUGCGGAACCUGAAGCUAGCUUGUUUUGCUAGUAUAUCUGGCCAGCUGCUAAGGCAUGCUCUCUGUUUUCCAAGUGUUGAAAUGAAGAGAGGCUGCUGCCUUCUUCAGUGUGCAUUCUGGCAUGCAUCUCUGGGAUCCUUGUUGAGCAUGAGAAAAUAUUUUAAACUUUGCUGGCAACCUUUAGAGAAAAGCAGACUACAUACAAAUAAUCGUAAGAGCACUUCAGGUACAUAAAAGUGUUGCAACUGUUGGAGACUUUAUGAAAAAUACUAGCAUCAGGUAUGAGAAGUCGAGGUUGAAGCUUGUCAAUGUAAUCCAAGUGACUCUCAAACAACACAGGCCCUUGCUGACGUCUUACAGAUAAGAGGUAAGGACAUUUUGCAGAAGACAUCAUAUACUUCAUCCUCAGGACUAAAAAAAUUGAAUUAAAUCUAACCUAAAAACCCACUUCAUUACUGUCCAGCUUGCAAAUUCCAUGUAGGAGUCUGUAAGCUUCCAAGGGAAGGAAGUAACCGAUAGUCCGAUCCAGCUUUAAUGCAUAAGAGCAUUAAAUGUUCAUAAGAACAAUGAGGGGGAUCAUACUAGUAUAAUAUUCCUAGACGUACAAUAGUGACCCACAAAUAUUGGCAGUAACCAAUAAUUGUCUACAUUGAUUUGAACUUGUUAAACAGAAGAAAAAUCAAGUUUUGUUCUAGAAACUUAAUCAGGUAACCUGUGUUAUUGAGUUCAUGAAUCGUAGAAGAGAACCUAUUACUAACACUUUACAUAGACCAGCAUAAUUCCUAAUUUCAUCCUAAUUCUUUCCCAUAUACUCACAGAUAACUAUAGGUAUUACUCCUCAUUAGAGAAGCUUCUGUUAACAGAUAGUGGAGACCAUUAUAGAAAAUUACAAUGGGUUAUAAAACAGUGAUCAAUGGAUCAUAGAUAUUCCAAACACAAAGAAUAUAUCUAGAACUCAAUUCUUGCAACGAUAGCUCCACUAUAGGGCAAAAGCAGGAACAAAUAUUAAGGAGGCAAGAUGACCCAGAAGUUUGCUACAAGAUUGUGUUUCCUAGAGACACAAAUUCAGAGAUGCUACAGCCAUGAUACCCCAAGAAUAAGACUGCCUAAGUAAGACCUGAACAAAGGCAGUAUCAGCAAACAUGCAAAUGUUGUAGUGAAUACAGCCAUGGGCCCACCCAUUGAUGAGGAAUACAGGUCAAUGAAGACUACUGAGAGAUAGGGAAUUGACCUCUCUAGG
rnacentral:sRNA from 1 species